CAGUAGCCGCGGUAAUACGAAGGGUGCAAGCGUUACUCGGAAUUACUGGGCGUAAAGCGUGCGUAGGCGGUUUCUUAAGUCUGCUGUGAAAUCCCCGGGCUCAACCUGGGAAUGGCAGUGGAUACUGGGAAGCUAGAGUGUGUCAGAGGAUGGUGGAAUUCCCGGUGUAGCGGUGAAAUGCGUAGAGAUCGGAAGGAACAUCUGUGGCGAAGGCGGCCAUCUGGGACAACACUGACGCUGAGGCACGAAAGCGUGGGGAGCAAACAGGAUUAGAUACCCGAGUAGUCCCUGUCUCUUAUAC
rnacentral:rRNA from 1 species